UAAUCAUUUUUGUUGCCCGCCGCUGGAUUUUUUCCAAUUUUUCCACAUCCUUCUUGUAGUGUGGGGCCCAAAACUAGACACAGUACUCCAGAUGAGGCCUCACCAAUGCUGAAUAGACUGGACUUAUCACGUCCCUCGUUCGUGGCCCACCAUACAAUUUCCAUACCCUGAUGUGGCCUGCAGGCCAAAAAGUGUGCCCACUCCGGCCUAGAUGUUGCAUGGAUGACGUCUACUGAAAGAAACUGUUCAGCUGAGAUUCAGAACAUUCUGCUUCAAAGCAGGGAAACCUUCAACCUUACUUAUAAUGCUAAAUGGAAGGCGUCUGCUACUUGGGAUGCCAGUGGUAGCUGUCUUCCUUGACAUCAUUAGUUUCAGCAAUAGUGGGGUAUUUGCUAGCCCUGAAACAGUCUAGACUUUACAUCAGGUCAUAAAGGUCCAUGUAGCAGCAAUGUCUGCACAUCAUCCCUCACUCCUGGGUAAUACUGUGUUUUCCCACUACAUAGUAGCAAGAUUCUUAAAGGCCUCACAUGUUUUUCCCCCAAUGCAGGAGCCCCCCCCUCCCUUUUUGGGACUUCAAUACAGUGUGGCAAUAUAGUAGUUAUUAGCAGCGUUGAUGGGUUCCCACUUCGAACUCUCAGCAACUUGUUCCCCACUAGUCGAUGAAGACUGCCUUUCUGGUGGCCAUUAUGUCAGCUCGCAGGGAAGGGGAGGUUCAGGCCCUUGUGACAUAUUGUCUAUAUAUAGUAUUUCGUAAGGACAGGGUCAUUCUUAGACCUCACUCUGGGUUUCUCCCCAGAUUGUCUCAGAGUUCCGUAUGAGCCAGUCCUUUCAUCUCCUGGUUUUCUUUCCAAAGCCUGAUUAAGUGGGUCUCCAGAUGUUAAAGAGCAUAUUAUGAAUUAGCCAGGAUAGAUCCAUCUAGCCAGACUAGAGCUCAUUCCACGAUAUCUGAGGAGCAGUUAUGUGGAGCUUAAACCACACAUUUACAAGACACUCUUGCUUAGUAAGGGCUCCCACAUCAGAUGUUGGUUUUGUUAGGGCUGUCUUAUAGCCAUUUAAGUAGGACUCCUAAUACCCACCUCCAGGCAGUAGAUAACUGAUUGUCAGUCUCUAAGAGUGGAAUUCAUGUGAACAAUUACUCAAAGAAAGAACAGUUACGUGUGCUACAGUUCGUGUGGUUUUGCAAGAUAUUAUACACAUGGAUUCCACAAGCCACUCUCUUUCCCUGCUAUUAUCGAAUCCUACUACCAUGAGAUUCUUUACUGGUAAAUGAACUGAGGAGUGGUUGAGCCCACUCUGCGUUUAUGCCUUUGGGGGCAAAGGGGCACUUAGGUUGCCAGCACAGCCUAAAUGGACACUGCUGGUCAAAAGUAUCCAAUCUCACAUGCAUGAUGGUGCGCAUGUGACGUAAGAGUGAAAUCCAUGUGGACAGCACAACUCAAAGAAUCACAUUUACUGUAGGGUAAGUAACCGUUCUUUCACAUAACAAACCUGCUUCAUAUUUUCCAUAGUGCUUUAGAAAUAUGAAACACCUUUGUGAGGUAAGCAAAUAUUAUUUUCAUUUUACAGAUAGGGUAAUUGACACGUUAUAUUAGUUUUCCAAAACGCAUAUAUAUGGUAUCGUCUCUAGCAUUUAGUCCAAGUAACCUAGGGAUCAGUUUGCAGAUUCAAUCUUCUAGGUCCUCAAUGUUUUGAACCUGUCUCCACGAUCUAAACCACAAGAGGUUUUCAUGGCAGAAUUAAAAAAGCGUACUCCUUUUCUUUUUCAGAAAAGAAGAUUUGUGGCACCUUAGAGACUAACAAAUUUAUUUGAGCAUAAGCUUUCGUGAGCUACAGCUCACUUCAACGGAUACAUUCAGCUGUAGCUCACGAAAGCUUAUGCUCAAAUAAAUUUGAUAGUCUCUAAGGUGCCACAAGUACUCCUUUUCUUUUUGCGAAUACAGACUAACACGGCUGCUACUCUGAAACCUUCUUUUCUGUGUCUGCUUUCUCACAGAUACCAGUCUGAUUCUUAAACUUUGUUUUUUCCAUUUAACUCUUCCUCCCCUAAGCAUAGUAAUGCAGAUCUUCUUGCAGUUGGUAGUAAUUACUUGCAUGGUAUCUGAUUUUAUGGGGUAGAUCUGGAUACUUACUUUAUUGACUUGUUCUGGUAUUAAUUGGUCUUAGAAAUCUUGAUUACCCUGAACAAGACCAUGCACAUCAGAAAUUGCAUCACUAGACAGCAAUUUCUAUCUGUUUAUUGAGAGAGACAAUGUAGGUGGAGGUUAUAUCUUUUAUUGAACCAACUUCUGUUGGCGAAAAGUACAAGCUUUCGAGUGAAGAGGAGCUCAAAACCUUAUACCUUCCGCCAACAGAAGUUGAUCCAAGCUUUUGAGCUAUGCAAAGCUCCUCUUCGCUUGAAAGCUUGUACUUUCCGCCAGCAGAAGUUGGUUCAAUAAAAGACGUUACCUCACCUAUCUUGUCUCUUUCAUAUCGUUGGACCAGCAGGGCUAUAACAACACUGCAAAUGCCUAUUUUAUUGUAAUAUAGUUUAGACAUCUUUUAUCUAACAAGCUGUGUUUUCAAAUGUUUGUCAACACAUAUUAAUCUCAAAGCCAUUCAUUCCUUGCUAACGGAGCAGACUUACAAUUUUGCUUCACUGCAUUUCACAUUUACCAUAGACGGUUUAAAAAUCAAGUGGUCAGAUACUAUGACAGGUGUGGCCAAACCACAGCUUGUGAGCCGCAUACGACUCUUUUGACAGGUCAGCUGCAGCUUGCAGAGCCUGGGGCUUCACCCCAUGUUGAGGGCGAACUGGCGCUCAUGGCUUCAGCCCUGUGGAGGGGGGGGCCCGAGGCUCUGGGCUUUCCCCUGAAUUGGGGCAAGUCGGCGCUCGCAGUUUCAGCCCCAAUGCGGGGGUGGGGCAGCGGUGCUGCGGCUCAGGGUUUCACCCUACAGCAGGGUGACAAAUAGCUUACAGCUUCCACAUCACUGGCAUGGGGGCACUGAUGCUUGGGGCUUCAGCCCUGCAGGAGGCAAUGAGGCUGUGUUCAGGGCUUCAGCCCUGCAGGAGGAGGCGAGCUGGUGCUGGGGGCUUCAGCCCUGCAGGUGGUGCUAGGCUCCGACUGCAACUGUACAUGCUCAUUAUAACAGGAAACUGCAUCACUGUAGUGCUGUGCAGACCUCGUGUGCUGUGAUCUCCCUGCAUGCUGCACACUACAGGCUGUGUUUCCUGUUCAUAAGUUGCAUUUGAAUAGUUUUAGAUUUAAGUGUUAACUCUAAAUUAAUUUCAUGGAUGACAAUGACAUCUUCAAACUAUAAGAAAUGCAUGUACGAAGAAGAAGACCAAAGUUUUCAGCCAGAAUGGGAGGAAGAUUUUGCAUUUACUAGUAAAGAUGGCAACCCCCUGUGCCUAAUCUGCAAUGCCUUGUGCUCUCACUACAAAGUGAGCAACUUGAAACAACACACAAUAACUUUUUGUCUAAGUACCCUCCUAGAUCACAAUUAAGGAAAAACAAGCUAACCACAUUAAAAUUAUGCCUCAACAGUCAACAGACACUACUUUCUCUGCUCGGUAAGGAAGUUGACACAAUGGCUGAAGCUAGUUUUGUUAUGGCAUGGAAUAUCGCUCCUGCUAAAUGUCCAUGUUGUGAUGGAGAAUUUGUUAAGAAGAAUAUUGCAGAAGUGGUUGCAAUUUUAAAUCCAAGUAACACUAAACUUCAGUGAUUAAUACAGCAAAUUCCAAUUUCAUGCCACAUUAUGGAGAGGCAGAUCUCCCAGAUCAGUGACGGUGUUGCAAGCAACAUGCAAAACGAUCUAAAGAAUUCUCUAGCGUUCAGCCUAGCUGUUGAUGAAUCCACAGAUAUUCAAGAUAAACCGCAGCUGGCGAUAUUUUUUCGCUAUGUUUCCACAGAUGUAAUUGUGAAAGAAGAAAUGUUGGACUUAGUGGCGCUAAAAAAAACAACCCAUGGUGUUGACAAAGAAUGCACUUGACGAAGCAUUGACAAAUGCUGAUGUACUACUGGAUAAACUUGUCAGUGUUGCAAUGGAUGGAACACCUGCGGUGAUGGGGGAAAAAGUAGGCCUGAUUGGACUCUUGAAGAGCAAUCCCAAAUUUCCAGAAUUUCUCCUUGUUCAUUACAUCAUCCAUCAUGAACAUCUCACAGGCAGAUACUUCAAGUAUGAAAAUGUUACAAAAAUAGUCCCAGAAAUUGUCAAUUUCAUCCACUCAAAUGGGAAGACUCAUCGACAGUUCAAAAAUUUCACUGAAGAGCUGGAUCUUGAAGACAAACCCAACAAUGUGUCUUUCUACUGUAUUGUGAGGUGGUUAUCAACCAGCAAUGUCUUAAAUAGGUUUGUGGAACUGUUGGAGCCUAUCAGUGCUUUCAUGGAAGAAAAGGAAAAGUCCUAUCCACAACUGAGAGAUGAGCAGUGGAUGCAGGAUCUUAUGUUUGUCACUGAUAUUAUACAGCAUCUGCAAACUCUCAAUUUGGCAAUCCAAGGGAAGGAUAAGAUUAUUUCUGACCUUACUCAGAGCAUCUUCAGCUUCCAGAACAAGUUAAAGUUUCUGAAAAGAGACAUAGUGUCAAGAGACAUCAACCACUUUACCUAUUUCAAGAGUAGGGUAAACACAUUUCCUGAAAUCAAAGUAGAAGAUCACAAACUCGAGGAAUACAAAGAUUCCAGUUUAUCAAGGUGCUUCUGCUCCCUUACUUGGUGGUCCUGUGGAAUGGGCUUUGUAUCAUGGAAGAGAUGGUUUGGGUGAUGUUCCUGAUCCGAAUGCUCCAGGAUUAGACCAUCUACAGAAAGAACAUGCUGUGAUGGCAAUGUUAAGAAUUGUUAGUGAGAAGCCUGGUCAGGAAUUCUAUCAUGAGUUGGUUAAUCAGGACACCAAAAAAGCUAAAUUCAUGGAGAAAAUAUCUGCUCACAGCAUAAAAUUCACAGA